AUUGAACGCUGGCGGCAGGCCUAACACAUGCAAGUCGAACGAGUGGCGGACGGGUGAGUAAUGUCUGGGACUCUGCCUGAUGGAGGGGGAUAACUACUGAAAAAGGUAGCUAAUAGCGCAUACCAGCGGGUGUGCCCAGAUGGGAUUAGCUUGUGGGUGGGGUAAAGUCUCACCUAGGAGACGAUCCCUAGCUGGUCUGAGAGGAAGACCAGCCACACUGGAAGUGAGACACGGUCCAGACUCCUACGGGAGGCAGCAGUGGGGAAUAUUGGACAAGGGUGGCAAACCUGAUGCAGCCAUGCCGCGUGUAUGAUGAAGGCCUUCGGGUUGUAAAGGACUUUCAGCAGGGAAGCGUUACCUGCAGAAGAAGCACCGGCUAACUCCGUGCCAGCAGCCGCGGUAAUUC
rnacentral:rRNA from 1 species